rnacentral:lncRNA from 1 species
CCUGGGAGAAGGUAAUUUGUUAUUUUAAAUGAGGUGGUCAGGGUAGGGCUCCCUGAGAAGAUAUUUGAGUGGACUCGGGAGGAGAGGGAGUUAGCCACAUGGACUUAUUGGGGAAGAGUGUUUCAGGCAGACAGAAAAGCUAAAGAAAAGGUCCAAAAGCAGGAGUGUGUCACUGGUGUUUGAGGAAGGCAAAGAAGCAAGUGUGACUGGAGCAGAGUAAAAAAGGGGAGAGUGGAAGGAGGAGUGCUCAGAUGGUAAGAGACUGUGUCAGAAUAUGGAAGAGCUUGAGAACUGAUAUGGUUUGGAUAUUUGUCCCUGCUCAAAUCUCAUGUUGUGUUGUAAUCCUCAAUGCUGGAGGUGGGGCCUGGUGGGACAUGCUUGGGUCAUGGGGGUGGAUCCCUCAUGGCUUGGUGCUUGUUUAGUGAUAGUGAGUUCUCAUCAGAUUUGGCUGUUUAAAAAUGUGUGGCACCUCUCUCUCUCUCUGUCUCUUUUCUUUUGCUCUCUCUCUUGCUCCUGCUUUCAACAUGUGACAUGCCUGUUCCCCCUUCACCUUCUAUGAUUGAAAGCUCCCUGAGACUUCACCAAAAGCAAGCAGAUGCCAACAUAAUGCUUCCUGUAAAGCCAGCAGAAUCAUGAGCCAAUUAAACCUCUUUUCUUUGUAAAUUACCCAGUCUCAGGUAUUUCUUUAUAGCCAUGCAAGAACAGCCUAAGGGAAGGCCCUAGAAAGGACUCUGGGUUUUACUCGAAGUGAAAUAGGGAGCCAUUAAAGGGUUUUGAGCCAAAGAGUGAUCUGAUCUAACCUAGAUCUUAAAAUAAUCACACAGCUGCUCUGCUGAUACCAGACUGUAGGGGGAAGAAGGACAAUAAGGGAAGCAGGAAGAUGUGUUUGCAGGCUUUUUGCAGUGAUCAAGAAGCGGCUUGGACCAGAAUGGUAGCAGGGGAGGUGUGUUAACUGGUGAAAGUUAGGAUGUCUUUAAAGGUAGAGUCAAUCUCCAGAUGGAUUAGAUGUGAGGUGUGGAACAAAGAGGCCAAACCAAAAACCCAAAGGUUUCUGCUUGAGUAACUGCAAGGACAGACUUACUAUUUGAGAUGAAUAAGCUGUAGGAAGAGUAGAUUUCAAGGGGAAAAUCAUCAGUAGCUCUGUUUUGGACAAGUUGACCUUGAGAUGUAUACUGGUUAUACUCUUCUCUGAAAGUGGCUCCAGGUCUGAAGAACUGUGGUCUGGGAGGAAUAGAAAAGCAUGCUCAGCUAUAACCAGGCCCACAUCCCCUAAGUUGCCUGCCCACCAAGUUACGGGCCGGACUUAUGCGCCACGCUUUGUCCGGGGACCUCGCGCUGUCCUCCCUCCGGUUCCCA